GUUCUCGUAGAGACACUGGUUCUAGUGAUUCGGAGACGGGGUGAGUUGGGAGAGAAGAGUAAAGGAAACUGGCCGGGAAUACCCCAGAAAGAGGCCUUGAAUAAAGAAACCACUGACCUCACCUUUAGUGAUGUUAGCAUAUGGUGGUGGCUUCUGCUUGUAGAUAGUGGAGGAGCGCAGGACUGUGGUGGACAGUGAGGGCCGGAGGGAGACCACAGUGACCCGUCAAGAACCGGAGAGUAGUCCUAGAUGUGGUAAGUUAAGAGUAUGAGUCAAAAGGGCCCAUCUCAACUCCUUGGGGAAAGGAAACUCUUGCUCUUGUACCUUUUAAUAUUUAUUUCUCUCCUUUGCCUCUGACCAUUCUUGUCAUUUAGUCAAUCUGUUUGACUUUCUUCCUUAGAUCCAGAAUCACCAAGACCUCCGGCCCUGGAUGAUGCUUUUUCCAUUCUGGAUUUAUUUCUAGGACGUUGGUUUCGGUCCCGGUAGCCUUGUUAAUCUUAGGGGCCUUCAGGUCCUUUCCACUUCUCACCCUUUGCCCACCAUCAUUAAGCUUAGCUUCUUCUGCCACCUCAGGGGCUUGGGUAUGUGGAACAGUGAUUUGGGGGUGUGUCAGUCUUCCACUUACCUAGACUGACCAAUAAAACCUUUAUUUAUGCUAAAGGUCUUGGUCUUUCUUUUGUUAACACUGUUCUACUUUCCAGAAUCAUGCAACGCUCAAUAUUUUGGCUUAGUUUUCUCCUUAUUUUUAUUUUUUAAAAAAUAUUUUCAGCCAACUACUGUGGGGCUUGCCUGUAAUCCCAGUGGCUCAGGAGGCUGAGACAGGAGGAUUGCGAGUUCAAAGGCAGCCUCAGCAAUGGUGAGGCACUAAACAACUCAGUGAGACCCUGUCUCUAAAUAAAAAAACAAAAAUAGGGCUGGGGAUGUGGCUCAGUGGUUGAGUGCUGCCCCUGAGUUCAAACCAUGGUACCACACACACACACACACACACACACACACACACGUGUGUGUGUGGGUGGGGGGGUAGAUGGGCCCAAUACCUUUAUUUUGCUUAUUUGUUUUUUUGGGGUGCUGAGGAUGGAACCCAGUGCCUCACAUGUGCUAGGCAAGCACUCUGCCACUGAGCCACAGUAUAGCCCCCCUUCUUAUUUUUAAAGUUUUUGUUCUACUUCCAAAACCUGAUUUAAUGUAGAGUCAGACACCAUUGGAAACUGAUUUCUUAUUGAGCAGAUAACUGCAGAUAAUGCCAAUAACAUUUCUAAGAAAGGAUACAUCAAGUUGGGCACAGUGGCAUGUCUAAUCCCAGCCAUUUGGGAGGCUGAGGCAAGAGGAUCACAAUUUGAGGCCAGCUUAGGCAACUUAGUGAGAGCUGUCUCAAAAUAUAAAGGACUGGGGAUUAUGCUCAGGGGGAAAGCACUUGCCUAGCACAUGUGAGGUCUUGGGUUCGAUACCCAGUACCAUCACCACAAAAACAACAACAACAAAAAUACAUCAAUACAGCAGAUUUCCCCCCAAACGGUGUGUUUGGUAUGAAGUAGGGGAUGACUGUUUUUCCUAAGUGCAGGACCACUGACUGGAUAAUUCACAAGAUAAUAUGAAGAAGUAUAUAGGUGAAUAUUUCUUUACUGGCUAUGUUUUUAUUUUUAUGUAUGUUAGAAAAGUAUAACUUAUACAAACAUUACUAGAUCUUUUUCUCAUUGAAAACUUUUUUUUUUAGUACUAUAGUUAGGAAUGGCAGGUUUUACACAUUUACUUCCCUCUGUUUUCUCUCUAAACCACACAAAAAUGAUGACAAAGGGAUUUUUAUAAAAAGGCAUAAGUAUAAGUAUCAAGGACAGGAAUUGAUAAUAAUGAAAUUUCUUUUUUUUUUUCUUUUCUUUUUUUUUUUUAGUUGGACACCUUUAUUUUAUGUAUUUGUUUUUAUGUGGUGCUGAGGAUGGAACCCAGGGCCUCACUAGGUAAGCGCUCUACCACUGACCCACAACCCCAGCCCUGAAAUUUGUCUUUUUAUUAAAAUAUCUUUUGGUUGACAGAAGCUGUUGAUUUGUUAUAGCCAAAUUUAUGUUUUCCUUUUAUGAUUAGCAUUUUUUAAAAAUAUUUAUUUCUUAGUUGUAGUUGGACACAAUAUCUUUAUUUUAUUAUAUGUGGUGCUAAGGAUCAAACCCAGGGCCUCGCACAUGCUAGGCGAGCACUUUACUGCUGAGCCACAACCCCAGCCCUGAUUAGCAUUCUUUAUAACUUUCAGAAAUCUCCUAACCCAAAGUUAAAAGGAUAUUUUCCUAUUUAUCUGGUAAAAGUUUUAUUAUAGUUUUUUUUCUUUUCAGGUUUUGAAAUCUACCUGGAAUUUUUCUUGGUGUAUGGUCUGAAUUGGGAGAAAAACUUUAUUUUUUCCCAUUUGGAAAUAGUAUAUUAAUGGUUAGAUAAGUAUUUAUAAAUAUACACACCUGUGGGCUGCGGCUCUCGCUCAGAGGCAGAGCACUUGCUUAGCAUAUGUGAGGCACUGGGUUCAAUCCUCAGCACCACAUAAAAGAAUAAGACUUGCUGCCCAUCUAUAAUAUAAAAAAAAAAAAAAAUGUUUUUAAAGUAUACUAGGUCUUUCUAUUCUGUGCUAGGUCUUUGUAUUCUCUUAUACUCAUCUACUUUAAAUAAAUUCACUUAACUGCUGAAGUUUAUAAGAAUACAUUGGUUUUUCCAGUCAUUUCUUUAGAAUUUCACCAUAAAUACAAAUGACGCCAAAGAUCACCAUAAAUGAAGAAAGCCUCUAACAUGAGUAAUGGAGACUCAUACAAAAGAAGCAACUUGGAAGAAACAGACUAGGCAGAGGAAAACUUAACCAGUAUCAUCUUUAGAAAUAUGAAAUAAUAUAUUGUGUCCUUAAAACUUCCUAGGGUGGUGGUAUAUAACUGAAAUUCCAGCUACUGGUGAGGCCAAAGCAGAAGGAUUCCAAGUUUGAGGCUAGCCUGGAAAACUUUGUGAGACUGUCUCAAAAUUAAAUGAGCUGGGAGUAUAGCUCAGUGAUAUAAGGGUUUACCUAGCAUGUUCAAGACCCUGGGUUUAAUCCUCAAUGCUGGGGGGUGGAGGGGAAGUAAUAAAAAAUUACAAAAGGAUGCUAGAAAAGAAAAGAGCAAAAGAGCCUCAGAGACUUAAAAAUAUGGUAGCAGAAAUGGAAAAAUAAAUUAUUUUGAAGACAAAGUUGAGGAAAUAUCCAAAAAAGUAGGUGAAAUUAAAAAAAUAUGUAAAUUAUCAAUGAAAUAAGAAAAUAUCCCAAGAUAGAAGGAUACUUUAAAAAAACAAACAAAAAAAACUUUAUUUAUUUAUUUUUAUGUGGUGCUGAGGAUGGAACCCAGUGCCUCGCAUGGGCUAGGCAAGCUCCCUCCAAUGAGCCACAACCCAGCCCCCGGAUAUUACUUUAUAAUCUGAAAGGACCCACUAUAUGCUAGACAUGAAGGAUAAAGAUAAACCUACUCCAAGGCACAUCAUGUGAGAUUUUAGAACACUAUAGAGACAAGGAGAAAUUUUAAAUUGGGGGGGGGGAGGGGGAGAGCUCACAAAGGAUUAGGAAUCAGAACAUAAAUUUUAAUAGCAAAAUGAAUUAAGAGACGGGCUGGGGUUGUGGCUCAGUAGUAGAGCACUUGUCUCACCAUGUGAGGCACUGGGUUUGAUCCUCAGCACCACAUAAAAAUAAAUAAAAGGCAUAAAAAUAUUAAAAAAAAAUACAGUGGAGCUAGGUUCUUGGGAGGCUGAGGCAGGAGGAUCACUGCAUUUAGGAGUUCCAGACUGUUUGAGAGAAAAUAAGCAAAAAAUACGACUGGAAGGCUGGGAAUGUGGCUCAGUGGUAGAGCGCUUGCUUACCACGCAUGAGGCAUUGGGUUCAAUCCCAGUACCACAUCAAAAAUAAAUAAAUAAACAAAGGUAUUGUGUCCAUUUACAACAUGUGUGCGUGUGAGAGAGAGAGAAAGAGAGAGUGGAGAGCCACCAAUUCCUACUACUGGGUAUAAAUCCAAAAGAAAUGAAAUCAGUAUGUUGAAGAGAUGAAUCAACAGAAGUGUCCAACAAAUAAGUAAAAUAUCUUUAAAAAUAAAAAUUAACAGCCACCCACAGUGCCAUGUGCCUGUAGCCCAUGGGAGACCCUGAGGCUGGAGGAUGGCUUGGCUUCAGCAGUUCAAGGCCAGCCUGGACCACAGAGGGAAACCACAUCUCAAAAAAAUACAUAAAAAAAUUUAAAAAGCAAAGAAAAAGGGAGCAGAAAACUUACAAAUACUGAAGGAAAAUUACUUCAAUCUAGAAUUGUAUACUAUAACUAUCAAAUGUGGGAGGGCAUUAGACACUUCUAUACAUGAAAGGUCUCCAAUAUUUGGGUCUCAUGUACCUAUGAGGAAACUUCUGGAGGAAGGAAGGGGUGGUUGUAAUCAGGGAUCUCCCUCUUCAUCAGAAAUUGGCUCAAAAGAGGGAAGAACUCCAUAAUGAUGAAAGGAGGUUCCAUGAUAUGGCUGUGCUUUCGAUAAAGCAAACGGUCUAGGCUGCAGUGUGUCAGAAGAGUCCAGAUGUCUUCAAAAAGAUGAAACUAGCUGGGCACAGUGGCACAUACCCAUAAUCACAGCUACUUGGGAAGCUGAGGCAGGAUGAUCAUUAAGUUUGAGGUCAACCUAUCUCCAAAUAAAAACGCUAGGGAAAUAGCCUCAUGUGGCUUAUAGAAUUAUUUGAUCCUCAAAAUAAAAAGGCUUGGGGCUGGGGUUGUGGCUCAGAGGUAGAGCACUUGCCUAGCAUGUGUAAGACACUGGGUUCCAUCCUCAGCACCACAUAAACAAAGAUAUUGUGUCCACCCAAAACUAAAAAAUAAAUAUUAAAAAAAUAAAAAGGCUCAGUGGUAAAGCACCCACCAGGUUCAAUCCCCAGUACAGGGGGAAAAAAUUGAUUAAAACAAAAAUUUUUUUUUUAGUUGUAGAUAGACACAAUCUCUUUAUUUUUUAUUUAUUUAUUUUUAUAUGGUGCUGAGGAUUGAACCCAGUGCCUCACACAUGCAAGGCAAGCAGUUUACCACUGAGAUACAACCCCAGCCCGAUAUAUUUUAAUUAUUGAAAAAUUUUAACAAUUGUGGGGCAAAAGAGCUCGGGGUUUGAAUAAAGGGCAAGUGCUUAGAAAACUAAGUUAACAAUAAGACAACAAUUGCUCUAUUAAUUGUAUCAGGAAUACAAAAUGAGGAGUUUAGUUAAAUUAUACCAUAUGGCCCACUUUUUUGGUUAUGGUAGUACUGGGAUGGAAUCCAGGUAUACCCUACUACUGAAUUAUAAAUCCAGCCCAUUUUGUUUUUUCUUUCAAGGCAGGGUCUUACUGAGUUGCUGAGGCUGACCUCAUACUUGGGAUCCUGCUUCAGCUUCCUGAGUAGCCAGGAUAACAUGGGUGUGCCACUGCACCCCACUGGCCUAGCUUUAAGUAGCAUAUAUACUAUGAUAACAAAUAACAUUGCUACAAUAUAAGGUAUAAUAGGUCUUUGUUGGGAAGGCAGACGAAUUGAAGUAUGCAUAUUUUUGUGGGGAAAGUACAGAAUAUCUAAAUAGUGUAAAGUUGAUAAGUAGUAUCUAAAACAAAAAUAACAUGUAACACUAUGAGCAUAUUAUUUGGAGAUACAGUGGUAAGUAUUAAAGGAAACUUUUAAAAAGUUUGAAAUAGUUGCCUCUGGGGAAUAAACAUUUAUGGAGAAUAUUUAUGUUGAGGAUGGGAAGCUGAUAUUUUUCAUAUGGCUUGUAGAAUUAAUUGACCCUUUAAAUAUAUACAUAUUACUAAUAAAUUUAUAGUCAGACGCAGUUGUGCAUGCCUGUAAUCCCAGCGGGAGGCUAAGGCAGGAGGAUGGAGAGUUCAAAGCCAGCCUCAGCAAAAGUGAGGCACUAGGCAACUCAGUGAGAACCUGUCUCUAAAUAAAAUACAAAUAGGGCUGGGGAUGUGGCUCAGUGAUUGAGUGCCCCUGAGUUCAAUCCCCAGUAACAAAAAUAAAUAAAUAAAUUUAUAGAUGCAAUGCAAAAAGUUAAAGAAAAUAAAAUUACAGAGAAAAUACAUUUAUAGUUGUGUUGGCAUUUGACAGGGUGGUGAUUCAGCAGAUCAGCGGGGAAAAGAUGAAUUGACUGCUUAAGAGAUGAUUUGGGGAAAACCAAAAGAAAAAAAUGGCAUUGGAUUUCCAAUGUAUGUUGUGCUGGAAAAGUUGAAAGCCUAAGGUCAAAGGUGAACUUAAAAUGCUAAUACAAGAACUUGUUAUAUCUGUGAUUUUGAACUAGAGAGAGACUAGUUGGGGGACAAGUACUGGGGAUUGAACCCAGGGGUGCUCUACGACUAGGGAACAUCUCCAGCCCUUUAUAUUUUUUAUUUUGAGACAGGGUUGCUCUUAAGUUGCUGAGGAUUUUGCUAAAUUGCCAUGGCUGGCUUUGAACUUUGCAGUCCUCCUGCCUCAGCCUCCCAAGUUGCUGGGAUUACAGACCUCUCAACUCAAUGACAAAUGCAGAUUUUAGAAACAACAAGAUACCCAGCAAUUAGGCAAAAAUUAGUCUGGUAAUGCCAAAUAUUAAUAACAAUGUGAAGAGAUGGAUCUCUUUUGUACUCUUAUAGGGAGUAUGGAUUAAUACAGCUAUUUCUGGUUUUAUUAUUUAAUUACUUUGAGAAAUUAAAUAAGCACAUACUCAAUGAUCCAGCAAUCUUAAUUCUUUUUUUUUUUUAUAUAUAUUUAUUUUUUAAUUUUCGGCAGACACAACAUCUUUAUUUGUAUGUGGUGCUGAGGAUCGAACCCAGGCCGCACGCAUGGCAGGCGAGCGCGCUACUGCUUGAGCCACAUCCCCAGACCAAUCUUAAUUCUUGAUGAAUAUUUCAGGGAAACUUGUGUCUAGAUUUUUAAGGGGGUCACAAAUAAGAAUAUUUAUCACAGCACCAUUUAUAUUAGAACUGUGUUAGGUAAUUUUCAUUAGAGAAGUAGAGAGGUUAAAUACAUCAUAGUAUAGAUGCUACUCAGUAGAUAAAAAUAUUGGCAAAAGGAAGCAUGGAGAGAUCUUAAAAACAGUAAUGAGCAAAAGAAAGAAAGAAAGAAAAAAGUCAGGCAUAGUGGUACACACCUGUAAUUCCAGCAGCUUGGGAGGCCGAGGCAGGAGGAUCACAAGGUCAAAGCCAGGCUUGGCAACUUAGCAAGGCCAUAAACAAUUUAGUGAGAUCCUGUCUCAAAAUAAAAAAGGGUUCGGGGUGUGGCUUAGUGGUUAAUAUCCCUGGGUUCAAUUUCUGGUGCAAAAAAAAAAAUGAUUUUUUUUGGCACAGUAACAUGUCAAUUAAAAAUCACACCAAGAAACUUUUGGCUAUCCCAGUUAAAGAGGUCUAUGAACCGGGCACCGUGGUUCACACCAGUAAUCCCAGCUACUCAGGAUGCUGAGGCAGAAGAAUUGCAAGUUCAAGGCCAACCUAGGCAACUUUGGGUGACCCUAUUUCAAAACUUAAAAAGAGCUGGCGAUGUAGGUUAGUGGUAGAGCAUCCCUGGCUUUAAUCCCCAGUACUACAAAAACAGGCAGAUUGGCAGAGGUGAGUGCCUAUGAACUUGAGGUUUUUGAACACAAUGCAUCUAUCCAAAUUAUUGGCUUACCACUACCCUCUGCAGGGUGACCCUGAGGGAAAAUUUAAAAUAGGAACAAAAGAACUGGGCAGAGGGGCUAGAGUUACGGCUCAGAGGUAGAGCACUUGCCUAGCACAUGCAAGGCACUGGGUUUGAUGUUCAGCAUCACAUUAAAUAAAUAAAGGUAUUGUGUCCAACUACAACUAAAAAAAAAAUAAUUAAAAAAAAUUGGGCAGAGGGGGCUGGGGAUGUGGCUCAAGCGGUAGCGCGCUCGCUUGGCAUGCGUGCGGCUCGGGUUCGAUCCUCAGCACCACAUACAAACAAAGAUGUUGUGUCCACCGAUAACUAAAAAAUAAAUAUUAAAAUUCUCUCUUUCUCUCUCUCUCUCUCUCUCUCUCUCUCUCUCUCUCUCUCCCCCCCUCACUCUCUCUUUAAAAAAAAAAAUUGGGCAGAGACAUCAGCAGCAGCACACUGUGGAAAAGAUAGAUUUUUCAGUUUAAUUCCAGGCAAAUCACAUAUACGCACAUACUACUACCACCACUGACAAUAACAAAACAACAGUACUCCAAAAACAGAUUCAGAGUUCUUAAAGUGUAUUAUCUAAAAGGACUGGGUUGAGUGCCGUGGCACAUGCCUGUAAUCCCAGCAGCUCAGGAGACUGAGACAAGAGGAUUGCAUGUUCAAGACCAGCCUCAGCAACUUAGUGAGGCCCUAAGCAACUAAGUGAGACCCUGUCUCAAAAUGAAAACAAAAAUGACUGGGGAUGUAACUUGGUGGUAAAGCACCCCUAAGUUAAAUAUCCAAUACCAAAAAAUAACAUAAAAUAAGUUGGGUCUGGGAUUAUAGCUUGGUAGUACAAUAUUUGUCUAGAACAUGCAAGGCUCUGGGUUCAGUCCCCAAUAUCACACUCAUGCAUGUAUGCAUGUGCACACAUACCAAUUACCUAAAGUAACCAGUUUCUAACCCAAAUUAUGAGCCAUUUGAAUAAAUAGGAAACUGUGAUCCACAUCUAGAAUAAAAGAAAAAGUCAAUAAAAGCUUAGUCUGAGUAGGCCUAGAUGUUGAAUUUGGCAGACAGUUUUCAAAGCAGAUUUUAUAAAUAUUUUUAGAGAUUUAAAGGAAAAUAUUUGUUGGGCAAGGUGACACAUGCCUUGUGUCCCACCUAUUUGGGAGGCUAAGUGAGUUGGGAGGAUUAGUUGAGCCCAUGAAUUUGAGACCACUCUGGGCCACACAAACCCCAUCUCAAAAAUACAAAAACAAACGAAAAAAAUUUGACAAUGAUUCAACAAAUAGGGAAUCUCAGUAGAGAAACAGAGGCUGUAAAAUAAUAAUAAUAAUAAUAAUAAUAAUAAUAAUAAUAAUAGCAGCCAGUGGUAGUUUUAGAAUUGUAAAGUGUAGCAACUGAAAGGAAACAUUUAGUAGAUGGCCUAAUUGCAUGUAGGAAAUAACAUGCAAUAGAAAUUAUCUAAUCUGAAGAAUAGAGAAAAAAAUGUUAUUAGGCUCGGCGUGAAGACAUAUACUUGCAGUUCUAGCUACUCAGGAGGGUGCAGCAGAGGAUUGCAAGUUCAAGGCCAGUCUGGGCAAUUUAAUGAGACCUUCUCAUAAUUAAAAAAAAAAAAAAAAGCCUGGGCAUGUAUAGUUCUUGCCUAGCAUGCAUGAGGCCUGGGUUCAAUUCUCACUAUUGAAAGAAAAAAAAAAAAGACUAUGUUAGAAAGGAGGAGAUAUCUAAAAUCAAUAACCUACCAGGUGCAGUGGCACAUGCCUUUAUAAUCCCACCACUUGGGAGGCAGAAGCAGGAGGAUUAAAAAUUUAAGUUCAGCCUGAGAAACUUCAUAAGACCCUCACUCAAAAUCAAAAGUAAAAAAGGGCUGGGGAUGUAGCUCAGUUAUAAAGUGCCCUUGAGUUUAAUCCCCACUACCACAAAAAAUAAAUAACCUAAUCUUUUACUUCAAGAAGCUGAAAAAAUAAGAAAAACCUAAAGCAGUAGGGAAAAAAAAGAACAUAAUAAAGACCAGAGUGAAAUCAAUGAAAGAGAAAAUAAAAGCAUUAGAGAAUUAAUGAAACCAAAAAUUGAACCUUUGGAAAUAUCACCAAUAAACCAAAUGUGGUUCCACAUGCCUGUAAUCUCAGCUACCAGGGAGGCUUCAUCCAUUCAUCUAUUGAAGAGCACCUAGUUUGGUUCUAUGGUUUAGCUAUUGUGAAUUGUGCUGCUAUAAACAUUGAUGUGGCUGCAUCACUGUAGUAUGCUGGGUUUUUAAAUUUUUUAAUUGUCAAUGGAUUUUUAAUUUUAUUUAUUUAUAUGUGGUGCUGAGAAUCAAACCCAGUGCCUCACACAUGCUAGGCAAGCGCUCUACUACUCCAGCCCCAAGUAUGCUGUUUUUAAGUCCUUUGGGUAUAGACUGAGGAGUGGGAUAGCUGGGUCAAAUGGUGGAUCUAUUCCAAGUUUUCUGAAGAAUCUCCUUACUGUGUGCCAGAUUGGUUGCACCAACUUGCAGUCCCACCAACAAUGUAUGAGUGUACCUUUUCCUCUACAUCCUUGCCAAUACUUAUUGUUGCUUGCAUUCGUUUUUAAAAUUAAUUAGUUAAUUAAUUUUACAGUAGAAUGCAUUUUUUUGAGCACUUGAAUUUACUUUUGCUUAACAAUUUCCAUUCUAGAAAUCUAACAUAAUGGAAGUAACUUUCAAGUGGCAAAAAAUAGGUGCAUAUUCAUAUAUAUAUAUAUAUAUAUAUAUAUAUAUAUAUAUAUAUAUAUAUAUAUGUUGUUAUAAAGGUAUAAAUUUACUAAUAAAUAUGGAAACCGUAUUUAAGUUGUGUUAACAUAGUUGUUGUAUAUUCCCUUUAUCAAUUUACUAGUUAAAGUAUGAUAUCUUAUGAUACGUAGAUAAUCUCUGUUACAAGAUUUAGAUCUUUUAGUGUUACAAGAAAAAUUUUUUAAUAAUUAAAUAAAAUUAAUCCAUAUAUACUCUCGUCUUACGUAAAACUAAUUAACAUGUGUUAACGUCGUGUUGAAAUGUAAACAUGUACUACAUUGUAGUAUGGUGUACACGUCAGUAUAUACAUGGAUCCCAUUAUUACAGGUAGAGUAAGGUGGUAGAAAGGACGGGGGUACAUGGGAGAGAGGCGGAGAGAGGAGAGGGAAAGGAAACGGGUUUCAAGGAGGUAAAAAGGGUACGGAAGGGAUAGGGACAAUACCUAGUCGUAGGUAUAUAGUCUCUCUUGUAGCUCGGAAACCUUUUUUGGGAUUGGCUUAAUUUGCUUAGCAUGAUAUUUUCCAUCUCUAUCAAUUUACCUGCAAAUGCCAUAAUUUUAUUCUCUUUUAAUGCUGAGUAAUAUUCCAUUGUGUACAUAUACCACAGUUUCUUUAUCCACUCAUCUAUUGAAAGGCAUCUAGGUUUAUUCCACAGUUUAACUAUUGUGAAUUGAGCUGCUAUGAACAUUGAUGUGGCUGUGUCACUAUAGUAUGCUGAUUUUAAGUCCUUUGGGUAUAGACUGAGGAGUGGGAUAGGAGUGGUUCCAUUCCAAGUUUUCUCCAUACCACUUUCCAGAUUGGUUGCACCAAUUUGCAGCCCCACCAGCAAUGAAUGAGUGUGCCUUUCCCCCGACAUCCUUGCCAACAUUUAUUGUUGUCUGUAUUCUUGAUAACUGCCAUUCUGACUGGCAUGAGAUGAAAUCUUAGAGUAGUUAGAUUUCCGUUUCUCUAAUUACUAGAGAUAUUGAACAUUUUCCAUAUAUAUUUCUUAAUUGAAUAUAUAUCUUUUUCUGAGAAGUGUCUGUUAAGCUCCUUAGCCCAUUUAUUGAUUUGGGUUGUUUGUUCUUUUGGUGUUAAGUUUUUUGAGUUCUUUAUAGAUCCUGGAAAUUAGUGCUCUGACAUGCAUGUGGCAAAAAUUUGCUCCCAAAAUGUAGGCUCUCUCUUCACCACAUUGUUUCUUUUGCUGAGAAGAAGCUUUUUAGUUUGAGUCCAUCCUAUUUAUUAAUUCUUGAUUUUAUUUCUUGCGCUUUAGAAAUCUUGUUAAGGAAGUCAGGGCCUAAUCCGAUGUGAUGAAGAUUUGGGCCUAUUUUGCCUAUAUUAGGCUCAGGGUCUCUGGUCUAAUUCCUAGGUCCUUGAUCCACUUUGAGUUGAGCUUUGUCAAGGUAAGAAAUAGGGAUUUAUUUUCAUUUUUGCUGCAUAAGGAUUUCCAGUUCUCCCAGCACCAUUUGUUGAAGAGGCUAUCUUUUCUCCAAUGUAUGUUUUUGGCACCUUUGUCUAGUAUGAGAUAACUGUAUUUAUGUGGUUUUGUCUCUGUGUCUUCUAUUCUGUACCAUUGGUCUACAUAUCUGUUUUUGUGCCAAUACCAUGCCAUUUUUGUUACUAUAGUAUAAUUUAAGGUCUGGUAUUGUGAUGCCUCCUGCUUCACUCGUCUUGCUAAGGACUGCUUUGGCUAUUCUGGGCCUCUUAUUUUUCCAAGUGAAUUUCAUGAUUGCUUUUUCUAUUUCCAUAAGAAAUGACUAAGGGGAUUUUAAUUUGAAUUUCAUUGAAUCUGUAUAGGGCUUUGGGUAGUAUGGCCAUUUUGACAAUAUUAAUUUUGCCUAUCCAAGAGCACAGGAGAGUUUCCAUCUUCUAAAGUCUUCUUCAAUUUCUUUCUUUAAUGCUCUGUAGUUUUCAUUGUAGAGAUCUUUCACCUCUUUUGUUAAGUUGAUUCCCAAGUAUUUCAUUUUAUUUUUUCAGUCUAUUGUGAAUGCGUUAGUUUUCCUAAUUUCUCUUUCAGAGGAUUCAUCACUGAUGUAUAGAAAUGCAUUUGAUUUAUGGAUAUUGAUUUUAUAUCCUGCUAUUUUGCUGAAUUCAUUAAUUAAUUCUAGAAGUUUUCUGGUAGAGUUUUUUUGGAUCCUCUAAGUAUAGAAUCAUGUCAUCAGCAAAUAAUGAUAGUUUGAGUUCUUAUUUUCCUAUGUGUAUCCCUUUAAUUUCUUUCCUCUAAUUGCUCUGGCUAGAGUUUCAAGGAUUAUGUUGAAUAUAAGUGGUGAAAAAAAGGGCAUCCCUGUCUUGUUCUGGUGUUUAGAGGGAAUACUUUUUUUUUUUUUUGCCAUUUAGAAUGAUGUUGUCCUUGGGUUUAGCAUAGAGAGCUUUUACAAUGUUGAGGUAUGUUCCUAUUAUCCCUAGUUUUUCUAGUGUUUUAAACAUGGAAGAGUGCUAUAUUUUGUCAAAUGCCUUCUCUGCAUCAAUUGCUAUAAUCACAUGAUUCUUUAAGUAUAUUGAUGUGGUGAAUUAUAUUUAUUGAUUUCCAUAUAUUGAACCAGCCUUGAAUCCCUUUUACAGUAGAAUGCAUUUUGACAUAUAGUACACAAAUGGAGCACAACUUCUCAUUCCCCUGGCUAUAAUGGUUCACAAUCACUCCACUAGUGUCAUCACACAUGUAUAUAGGGUAAUAAUGUCUGUCUCUUUUACUGUUCUUCCCAUCCCCACAACCCCACCCCUCCGCUAACUUCCCUCUACACAAACCAAAGUUCCUUCAUUAUUCCCUAUCUUGCUGUCCUACUGUGGAUCAGCAUCCGCUUAUCAGAGAAAACAUUCAGCUUUUGAUUUUGAGGGAGGGAUUGGCUUAUUUCACUUAGCAUGAUAUUCUCUAGUUCCAUCCAUUUACCAGCAAAUGCCAUAAUUUCAUUCUUCUUUAAAGCUAAUAGUCCAUGUGUAUAUGUACCAUAUUUCCUUUAUCCUUUCCUCUGUUGAAGGGCAUCUAGAUUGGUUCCAUAGUUUAUCGUGGAUUGUGCCACAUUGAUGUGGCUGUGUCACUGUAGUAUGUGGAUUUCAAGUCCUUUGGGUAUAAAUCAAGGAGUAGGAAAGCGGGGUCAUUCCAAGUUUUCUGAGGAAUUUCCAUAUUGCUUUCUAUAGUGGUUGCACCAAUUUGCAGGUCCACCAACAAUGUAUAAGUGUAUGUUUUUCUCCACAUUCUUGCCAACACUUACUAUUACUUGUAUUCUUGAUAAUUGCCAUUCUGACAGGAGUGAGAUGAAAUCUUAAUUUUGAUUUGCAUUUCUCUAAUUACUAGAAAUGAUAAACACUUUUUCAUACAUUUAUUGACUGCAUUUCUUCUUCUGUAAAGUGUCUGUUCAGUUCCUUAGCCCAUUUAUUAAUUGGGUUAUUUGUUUUUUUGGUGUUAAGUUUUUUGAGUUCUUUAUAUAUGCUGGAGAUUCAUGCUUUAUCUGAGCUGUGUAUGUGGUAAAGAUUUUUUUUCCCAUUCUGUAGGCUUUCUUAUCACGUCAUUGAUGGUUUCUUUUGCUGAGAAGAAGCUUUGUAGUUUGAAUCCAUUCCAUUUAUUGAUUCUUGAUUUUACUUCUUGCACUUUAGGAGUCUUGUUAAGGAAGUCAGGGCCUAAGCCAACAUGAUGAAGAUUUGGGCCUAUUUUUCUUCUAUUAGGCACAGGGUCUCUGUUCUAAUGUCUAAGUCUUUGAUAUAUUUUGAAUUGAUUUUUGUGCAGGGUGAGAGAUAGAUGUUCAAUUUCAUUCUGCUACAUAUGGAUUUCCAUUUUUCCCAGCACCAUUUGUUGAACAGGCUAUCUGUUCUAAUGUAUAUUUUUGGCUCUUUUGUCUAGUAUGAGAUAGCCAUAUUUAUGUGGGUUUCUGUGUCUUCUAUUCUAGAUCAUUGGUCUACAUGUCUAUUUUAGUACCAGUACCAUGCAAUUUUUGUUACUAUUGCUCUGUAAUAUAGUUUAAGGUCCUGUAUCGUGAUUCCUCCUGCUUCACUUUUCUUGCUAAGGGUUGCUUUGUCUAUUCUGAACCUCUUAUAUUUCCAAAUGAAUUUCACGAUUGCCUUGUCUAUUUCUAUAAGGAAUAAUGUUGGGAUUUUAAUUGGAAUCACUUUGAAUCUGUUUAGCACUUUUGGUAGUAUGGCCAUUUUGACAAUAUUAAUUCUGCCUAUCCAAAACCACAGGAGAUCUUUUCCAUUGUCACUAGAAUUCUUCAUGACAUCAACCAUUCUAAAUUGCAUUCUGUGGAAAAAGACUUAAGAUGAAGAGAUACAAAGCUAAGACUUAUUGGGGCUGGGACUGUAGCUCAGUGGCAGAGUGUUUGAUCCUCAGCACCACAUAAAAAUAAAUAAAGACAUACUGUUCAUCUAGAACUACAAAAAAUUAAAAAAAUUUAUUGAGGAGUGCUAAAACUCUUGAGAGGUAUAUAAGUAAGGAAGUAAGGAAAGCAGGAUUGGGCAUAGGGAAAAACUGACACACCUGAAGAUGUAACUAUUAUGGUUUAGAUAUGAGGUGUCCCCAAAAAGCUCAUGUGUGAGACAAUGCAAAAAAGUUUAGAGGUGAAAUGAUUGGGUUAUGGGAAUUUUAACCUAAUCAUUACAUGAAUCCCGUGAUGGGAAUUAACUGGAUCGUAACUGUAGGCAGGCAAGGUGUGGCUGGAAGAGGUGGGUCCCAGAAGAGUGUGUUUGGGGUUUAUAUUUUGUUAUGGUGAGGACAGAUAGCUCUCUGUCUCUGUCUCUCUCUGCUUCCUGGUAGCCAUGUCUUGAGCCACUUUCCCCUGCCACACUCUUCCACCAUGAUGUUCUGCCACACUUUGGGCCCACAACAAUGGAGUUGGCCAUUAAUGGACUAAGAACUCUGAAACUGCAGCCUUGAAAAUAAGCUUUUCUACCUCCAAAAUUAUUCUUGUCAGGUUUCCUGGUUGCAGCAAUGAAAAAACUGACUAAAGUAUAUAACGAAAGUUUCAGCUGAUCCUAUGGGGGAACUCUGGAGUUGGAAUGGCCCUUCAGAUUUUUCUCAAAUUGAGGCAAAGAGACCAGGCCUUGUAUCCCUGCAUUAACCAAUUAUUGUACAUGGGUCCCAUAGAAGAGCUCACCUUAGGUGACUCGUUUUCCUAACUCAUAGGGCAUUGCAUUUGUGGUAUCAGAGGCCAAUGGGUGUGGUAGCAUACACAUAUAGUUCAAACUACUUGGAAGGCUGAGGUAGGAGGAUGGCUUGAGGCCAGGAAUCUGAACUGUAGGGCACACUGCUGAUUGGGGAUCCAUGCUAAGUUCAGCAUCAAUAGGGUAACUUUCCAGGAGCAGGGGAUCACUGUUCCUAAGGAGGAGUGAACCAAGGGGUGAACCUAAGGAAUUGUUAUGUUGACUCUGAAAAGAGAUCUGGAUGGAGCACUAUAGUAUUUGUUAAACCUAGCAGAGAAGUAUUAUUGCACAUGGAUAUGCCCAAGAGUGGGCCAGAUCCCGAGUGUUUACAUAAAUCAAGGUCCCAGGCCUCAAACACUUCAUAAACUAUACACAAUAUUUUAAAUAUUUGUAGAUUAUCUGUUUCUACUUUCUGGAACAUAAGCUCUAGGAGGGUAGAAACUAUGUUUUCUUCACCAUUUUUUCCCUAGGGACUGAAGUUGAUUAACUGUUGAGUGAAUCUAAUAGGAGCCUUGAGAUAUGAAGAAAAAGGAUCUGGCUUCAUGUUAUGCAGAGUUAAGAGUGGCAUGUCUCUGGAGAAGAGCAGGUGGAGCUGAGCAUGGGUGUGAACUCCUCAUCUUAAGCUGUGGCAGAAGACACACAGAUAAAGAUUCUCUAAUCAAGCAGGGUGCGGUGGCACAUGCUGCCUGUAAUCCCAGAAGCUCAGGAGGCUGAGGCAGGAGGACACAAAGUUGGCCUCAGCAACUCAGUGAGGCCCUAAUCAACUCAGUGAGACUCUAUUUCUGAAUAAAAUACAAAAUAGGGCUCUUUCUGGGGAUGUGGCUCAGUGGUAUCCACCCCCCCACAAAAAAAAAGUGUUGGGAAUUUGGCUCAGUGGUUAAGUGCCCCUGGGUUUAAUCUCUGGUACCAAAAAAAAAAAUAAAUAAAUAAAAAAAGACAGAAAGAAGAAAAGAAAGAUCCUCUAAUCAUGAGACCCUGCAUGAAGAAAGCACAAGCAUUCAACAUGUGGGAUCCAUUUUCACAGUCUGUAGUCUUCAGCCCAGUCUCUCUGGAUGCUCCUUGAGUUCUUCAAAUAUCCACAUGGUUUGAGGAAAGGCUUCAUGUUCCAGGUGAGAGGCAUUGUAGAAUACCAGAUGGAGAAUUAGAAGACCCAAUUUGAAUUCCCUCAAUCACUAACUAACUGUGAUUCUGGGGAAUUAUAGGGCUCAGUAUACUCAUAUGUCAAUGGGAUCAAUAGUACACAGCUGUCUUUAGGGUCAAGAGUAUUAAUGUAUCUGAAGCAGGGUACUUUCUGCAAUUCAGGCUAGUUCUAUGAGAAAUAGGGAUAAAGGACAGAAGAGAGAGAGAGAUCCUGGGCAAACUCCAGGCAGAGGUGCACACAGCCUGCUCACAGACAGGCCUCUCACAUUCCAGCUUCCACAUAUGCACAGAAAGCUGUGAGCUCUAUUCUACACAUCUGCGUAGAUAGUAACUGCCAAGAUAAUUGGUUUUAAAGUCUGUUCCUUAUCUUUUCCCCUGGCAUGCAGGAGCUGUGUGCCUAUGCACACAGAAGAGCAGUGGACAGAGAUAGCAAGACACCACCAUGGUCCGGGAUCAGCUGCUGGCCAAAAUGAGGGGCUACUUUCGGAUCCACAGCCUCCUGGCCCGACAGUGCUUGGCAGAGUUUCUGGGUGUAUUUGUGCUCAUGGUAGGCAGUAACUGUGGGGAAGAAAGGAGGGAGGUAGACCAAUAUUUCUGGCUCUUCCUAUACUUCCUUUUAACUCUCAAUCUCUUCUCUUUCCCUCUUGUUUCUCCUCUUCCUUCUUCUCCUUCUCCUUAUUUUUAAAUUUUUGUUGUUUUAUACUAGGGAUUGAACCAGGGCACUUUACUGCUUACCUACAGAGUUUCUGAUAACUUUCUGAGGGCUCACCAAGUUGCUGAGGCUGGCUUCAAACUUGCAAUCCUCUUGCCUCAACCUCCCAAGUCAUUAGAACUAUAGGCACGCUCAAGGACACUCAGCUUGCUUCUUCUAUUAGAUGCCUUCUCUCCCUUUUUCCUUCUCCUCCACUUCUUCCAUUUCUUUAUCUCUUUCCUGUUUCUGCUUUUCUCCUUUCCCUGCUGGUCCCUUGGUUGCUCCCAAUCUCUCUCCUGUUGGUCUCCUGGACUUCCUUUUCCUCACCUUUCUCUCCCU
rnacentral:lncRNA from 1 species